AAGUGCCAGACUAUAGCUUUAAAAGUAAUCAUUGCAUUUGGAAGAUGUGCUCUCUUCACGAAUCUUCACUAGAUUAAAAGCACUUUAAGAUCGAGCUCUCUCCUCCAUCAGAUCUUCGCUGGUUCUGUGGUUUAAAGCUCUCAGCGCGGGGAAGGGGAGGAGACACACACACACACACACACACACACACACACACACACGCACAUCAGCUCCGUUCCUCCGUUCGCGAGUAACCGGGCAGGAGGAGGCGAGCGCGAUCAGACCUCCAGGUGUGUGUAGAUGUAUGUGUGUGUUCCAGUCACACCUGGAUGCAUCAUGUGAUCAGAUACCUGGGCGUGGAGCUAGCGUUCAGUGUGUUCAUAGUUAACGGGAAUCCCGGAACCGCAGAUCUCUUGUCGCUCCGCGCGUGAACUUUCCGUGCACCGGGAAUCUAUUCCUCUCAAUCUAAAGGGAAUCCGCGGUCUGGACGCUGCCGAGCAGGGCUGCUGUCUCCUGAGGUAUUGCCCCAUUACCUGAGGGUAUCGGUGAGCUUUCCGGACAGACGAUUAGUGGCAUUAGUCUCGUGGCACGGCGGAUCUUACAUGGGCUCAGGGAUAUCAGAGAAGUUUCCUGCAUGGCUUAAUGAGGUGUGUGUUUCUGUGUUUAGACUCUUCAUAAUGCAUUACAUUUCUGACAUUAAAAAUGAAUGCCGGCUCUUUAUCUCUCUGGUAAUAUCAUGCUGUUAGAGGAUGUUGUGUAAACCAGAAUGCCACACAGUGGAGUUAUUAUGGACCUUUCCUCAACAACAACAAAAAUAUGUACAAAAAUGAGAUCAACACCACAUGAUUUUUAGGUCGGUGGGUGUGUGUGGCUCAAUCCCAGUUUGAAAACUAUCCAUACUUUUUAGUGAUUAGGAUUAAGAUUAGGAUUAGUGCUUUCCAAAUCUUGGUCAGAUUGCAUACUAUUUCCAUGCUUUCUAGAUAAGAAUUACUAGGGUUUACUGUAAAUUUAAUCUUGACAUUUUUCAUUCUUUUAAUGAUAUUCAUCUAAAUACUUUUGUAUUUGCUCUGACAAAUAUUUAAACAUGUGAUUUAUUUAUUUAUUUAUUUAUUUAUUUUGUUUCAAGCAAGACAUAAAACAAAAAAUGUAACAAGUCUUUUUUCCAAACAGAUUUUUUCUCACUUUCCACUACAUGAACAGAAGUAUGCUAUUUAUUGAUGAUAUGAUAUUUAAUAAUUUUUAAUUAUGCCUGUGCACAGUAAUAAACAGCAGUAUAUACCUCAAAUAUUUUUAAUUCAGCAUUGGGAAGCAAUAUAGCAUUUAUUUAUUUAACCUUUAUUAUUUUUUAUUUUAUUGUUUAUUUUAUUUUAUUGUUUAUUUUAUUUUCAUUUAUAAUUAUUGGAUAUGAAUCUGAAAAGCAUAGUACAUACUUUUCAUAGUAGGGCUUAAAUGUAAUCAUUUUUGUGAUGAUAUUCAUCUCAAUAUUUUUAUAUUCAGAAAAAUGCUUAAAAGCAUUAUUUGUUUUUUUUUUCACACAAGAAGUAAAAUU
rnacentral:lncRNA from 12 species